UCCCCGUCGAUCCACGGGGUUUUGAAGCAUCGAGGGGGGACUCGUGGAACUUGGUGGCACGCACAGAACUGGGUGAGGCGGAAACAAGGCGACGCUGCCCGCCGGCUCCUCGACCGUCUCGACGCCGGCGUCCCUCAUCUAGCAAGCCGGACUUAUCCCCGGAGAGACACCAAGGUGACAGCGGCGGCGGCGGCGCAUCGAUCCCGCGCGAGCUCGAGGGCGAUGGCGCUGUAACGAAUGACUCCGGUGCCCCCUCCGUCGUUCUCCUCCUCCCCCUCUCCCCCGUCCUUCGUUUCUAGAAUAAUGGUCGGAGGUGCUUCUGCUGAACCACAUUUGUGAAUGAGCAUAGAACUGCAGAGUUAUUUGUUAACAUUCAGCUACAGAAUUAUUUUGUGUAAGAUUUAGAUCAUCUCACUUCACUGUUGCGUGACCGUUGGUCUCUUCCUCUACCAUUCUGACUUGUCAUGGUUUGUAAUUUCCAGCUAUAUUUUCAACUGGAAAUAGAUCAUAAGAGUUACUUACUUGCCUUUGAGGUACUCAUAUAUGCUUAUGUUCAUGGCCUAUCACAGUUGUAUGUUCUUUGCUUAUAUUGCCAUCUUUCUGUAAUGAGCUUAUUUAUAGAAGUAAGUAUUUUUAGUGAGAGCAUUAUGUCCCUGUAUGCUUUUAAUUUUUGUCUCUUUAUAUGCCCUAGUGCUUCGUGA